GCGAGAUUAGCCUCAGUAUUAUCUUUGCAGGACAGUCAUGAACCUGUCAAUCUUGGAAAUCUUCGUACUCAAAGCCUUGAAUUGAUUGCUAAUCAUUCCUACCUGGUUCCGAGAAUGAAUACUUGUGAUGUUGAGAGAGUGAAGCGUGGUGGCCCGUGGAGCUUCAAUAGGGCGUUGAUUGUUCUCAGUGAUUAUGAUGGUCUUCCCUUAAUUUUAGAGGUCUCAUUGAAUCAUUUUUGUGUGUCGGUUCGAAUCCCUGGCCUUCCCCCUACUUUUGCUACUAUUUCAACUAUUUCUCUGAUUGGGGAGACUUUGGAAAAUGUUUUGGCUAUUGAUCUGCGUGGAUUGAGAGAAGGAAGAGGUCGGCUUCUUAUUGAAUUAUGUCUGUAGGAUUCGCUACAUACAUCUAGGACAUUCAAGGUUUCUCCUUCUAAAACACCCCUAACAUUUUGAAAGGUUAGUAGGGUGGUGUAAGGAAUGUCUGUCGCUUAAGCAUGUAGGAGCGAUCUGGCCGUGGGUGCAGGACGCUGAGGCAACAUCGGGAAAAGAGGUUCCAGCAAUGGGCGUGGCGGCGUAAGGUCAGUGGCGUCCAUCGAGUCUCUCCCCUCUGACUUUUUUUAGGAAUGUCAGUACGUAGUCCUUUCCUGAUUCAAUGUUGUAGCAGAAGGCAUUGUUACGUGCUUGGGGGCCAAAGAGGACAAUGGUCCUAAAACAGUUAGAGGACCGGUCACGGGCAGCCGUGUGUGAUAGAGUAGAAAGGAGGUUGUGGAAGAGAUGCCAAAACCAAGCUGCUUUAGUUUGAAUUAGUUCCUGCUUCAUUGUAGGCCGAACAAUUGGGAUUGACUUUGCAGGAUAGUGGCUUAGUAGAGGUGCAGAUGAUCCUGGCUGCAGGCAAGAAAAAGGGCCAAGGAAGGCCACGUGGGAGCAGGAACAAGGUGAAGGCAAUGGAGAUUGAGAGUGAACCUUUGUUACACCCUGUACCUAGAUUUACUGGUUUGCUUAUCAUUUAGACAGUAAACGACAAUUAU